ACUUAGGACAGUCCGGAGCGAUUUCUGACUGCUCAGAGCGCACAGGUGUAGACGACAGGAUGGAACCCUACAAUUAGCUAGAGAUGUUCUUAGUGAAGAGUGAUUCUGGAUACAUCGUGUGUCUGGGUGUGUUCCCAGUGACCACCCCACAAACCCUCCUUUAUCCGAGCGUGGCAUGAGUAGCACUGGAAGACUUUUGAAUGAAAAUCCUGCAUUGAAAUCGGAUUUGUCUUUUGAUGUGACAGUAGACAUGUCAGCUUUGGGAGCAGAAUCCGGAAACUGUCAACACUGAAUUUCCUUUCGCGUCUGCCCAACGCUGCUCCUAUCCAUAAGCGCCUGGGAAGGAACAAGCAGCAUCUCUGAGGCUCAGUUUCCUUAGCCCUAGAAUGAGGCGCUAAAACUGCUCUAUUCAUAAGGAAGUGCAUAGAGGACAGUAGCAAGCUACCCCAGCGUCAGGGCCCCGGGCUAACAGGGGCUGUCGCGCCUGGAGCUGCACAUUUUGGACAGUGCAAACAUGUGCAUCAUCACCAGAGCACGACGGGAUCACCCAGGCCUGCACCGCCGCGUGGAACUUUGUGACUUCGGGCAGCUCCUACCUUCUGAGCCUCCUUUCUUGCCUAUAAAACGGAGACAGCGGUGCCAGCCUCAUUGGCUCCGAUGACUGAAUUGACAAGAGUGACUCAGUGAGUCACCUGCACAGUGCCCGGAGCCUGGCAGGCCUUGGCAGUGCCAGCCCCCGUGUCUUGCACCUGGUUGCUGAGGCUUAGGGUGGUUACCAAGCCUUCCCUUCUCUCUCUGCGGCCCAGGCAGGUCUUGUCACAGGCCAUUUUGUGGCAGAGUGAGCCCCUACCCAGACUCUCCGGGAGGCGGCAUAGGAACAACAGAAGGAAAGGCAGGAGCAAAGACUGCUGCCCUGUUUUAUCCACCGGCUGCCACUCACUAUGGUGUGUCCCUCCAGGACCUAGCUUCAGACAGGGACUCCAGCGGAGAACUGGUGUAUCUGUAUACCCGUGUUCCUAGCAGCACUGCUUACAACACCCAAAAAGCAGAAACAACCCAAGUAUCCGUCAACAGGGACUGUAGCCCUCCAGCCUCCUCCAUCCAUGGGAUUUGCCAGGAUACACCUGUAUGCAUUUUUAUGCCAAGUAUAGCCCAGUGAAUUGGAAGCAUCACCUUUUCUACAUCUUUUGAGUAGUGAGUUGGAACUAAGGUCUACUGAUUGUCUUCUCUAAGCCAGGUUCCGUCCUUCAGGCCCACGGGAGAUGACACCCUUCUUGUUGCUAGCCUCAGGUCUACUCCCGGACGACCACACUAUCCCUAGUGGCUAUUCUGAACCUCAUUCACACCUUUGUAAACAGUCUCUUUAUUAAACU
ensembl:lncRNA